rnacentral:rRNA from 1 species
UACGUAGGUGGCGAGCGUUAUCCGGAAUGAUUGGGCGUAAAGGGUGCGUAGGCGGCCUGCUAAGUCUGGAGUGAAAGGUACCGGCUCAACCGGUACAGGCUCUGGAAACUGGCGGGCUAGAGAGCAGGAGAGGGUGGUGGAACUCCAUGUGUAGCGGUAAAACGCGUAGAGAUUAGGAAGAACACCAGUGGCGAAGGCGAUUCUCUGGACUGUAACUGACGCUGAGGCUUGAAAGCGUGGGGAGCAAACAGG